rnacentral:rRNA from 1 species
AGAGCGAACGCUGGCGGCAGGCUUAACACAUGCAAGUCGAGCGGGCGUAGCAAUACGUCAGCGGCAGACGGGUGAGUAACGCGUGGGAACGUACCUUUUGGUUCGGAACAACACAGGGAAACUUGUGCUAAUACCGGAUAAGCCCUUACGGGGAAAGAUUUAUCGCCAAAAGAUCGGCCCGCGUCUGAUUAGCUAGUUGGUGAGGUAACGGCUCACCAAGGCGACGAUCAGUAGCUGGUCUGAGAGGAUGAUCAGCCACAUUGGGACUGAGACACGGCCCAAACUCCUACGGGAGGCAGCAGUGGGGAAUAUUGGACAAUGGGCGCAAGCCUGAUCCAGCCAUGCCGCGUGAGUGAUGAAAGGCCCUAGGGUUGUAAAGCUCUUUUGUGCGGGAAGAUAAUGACGGUACCGCAAGAAUAAGCCCGGCUAACUUCGUGCCAGCAGCCGC